rnacentral:sRNA from 1 species
GCCAGGUGAGGUGGUGCACACCUGUAAUCCCAGCUGCUUGGGAGGCUGAGGCAGGAGGUUCAUGAGUUCAAAGCCAGCCUCAGCAACUUAGUGAGGCCCUAAGCAGCUCAGUGAGAUCCUGUCUCUA